rnacentral:rRNA from 1 species
UACAGAGGGUGCGAGCGUCGUCCGGAAUCACUGGGCGUAAAGGGCGCGCAGGCGGCUCUGAAAGUCAGAUGUGAAAGCCCCGGGCUUAACCUGGGAAUUGCAUUUGAUACUCUGGAGCUUGAGUACGGGAGAGGAGAGUGGAAUUCCCAGUGUAGAGGUGAAAUUCGUAGAUAUUGGGAAGAACACCGGUGGCGAAGGCGGCUCUCUGGACCGUAACUGACGCUGAGGCGCGAAAGCGUGGGGAGCAAACAGG